GUAACCCUGAACUCACCGCAUUUAAGCCAAUCCCCGCGCAAACAGCCGUCCAACCAAAGUCUUUCGACAGGCUAUGUGAUAUUUUCUUGACGAAUCCUCAGGGAACCAAGUCCGAUAUUUUUCAGCCGAGUCCCUUCAGUCGGGCCAGGAAUAUGUGCUUGUCAACCAGACAAUCUCCAGCUGACAUGACUCAUGUGCCAACCUUCAAACGUCCGCCAAAGCCACUUCCUCGAAGUAGACCACUAAAGCCAGAAAAGCUGCUCAUGCCAGAAAAGCCACCAAAACCAGAAAGGCCACCUCCACCCACACCCGCAAACCCUAUAUGCAAAGAGCACAGUUUAGCAUAAUGUUUUUAUAUCUCUGCUUUAACUCUUUGCUGCUGCAACUGUUAUGCUUUUGCAGCAUUGCAUCUGAUUUAAUUUUCUUUAAUAAGCAGUAUACUUUUUAUGAGUCAGUUGGAGGUUGCCGGUUUCUUUCACAUGCUGUCCAGUGCUCCUUUCCCAUUCCCAAACCUGUUGGAUGAUGUAGAGAUGGAUGAUGAAGACAGUGACAAAGUCAGUGGAGAGCCUCAGAUUUGAGCUUUGAACAGACUGCGUAGGCCUAUUUGGGAGAUAUUAAUGAUGGUUGUGAUGACAAUCUAUUUUUAAGUCACUCUGGCCCAUCACAUAGUGCAAUCCACAUCCAUCCUUUUAAACGCUAACUGCUGCACUUAAUAAGGCAAACACAAAUAUUGAUAUUAGGGUGAUUUGUGCUAUAGGGUGUUAAUGCAAAAUGUGACGUCACACCAGGAUGCCGUCAUGUUUUAGGCACUUUUGUUGCUGUCCAAGUGCUGACAUGUAGAAUGUAAAUUCUCCUCCCAGACUUCAAUGGAAACUCAACAGUCGGGCAUGGGAGCGUCUACCAAAUAAGGGGUAAUGCGUGGAGCCCAGAAAAUAAAAUUUCCAAAUAAGGAAAAGGAGUGGUACUUAUUUGUGGAGAGUUGAGCAGGGCUGUGUGAUUGUAAAUGCUUGUCCAUUUUGUCUGUUUUUGUCUCUUAACU